rnacentral:snRNA from 1 species
AAUCAUAUUAAAUUAUUCUACUA